rnacentral:rRNA from 1 species
UACGAAGGGGGCUAGCGUUGUUCGGAAUAACUGGGCGUAAAGCGCACGUAGGCGGAUUGUUAAGUGAGGGGUGAAAUCCCAGGGCUCAACCCUGGAACUGCCUUUCAUACUGGCAAUCUUGAGUUCGAGAGAGGUGAGUGGAAUUCCGAGUGUAGAGGUGAAAUUCGUAGAUAUUCGGAGGAACACCAGUGGCGAAGGCGGCUCACUGGCUCGAUACUGACGCUGAGGUGCGAAAGCGUGGGGAGCAAACAGG